UAACUUCGGGAGAAGGUGCGCCGGCGUAGAUUGUAAGGGCUAGCCCCUGAAGGUUGAACCGGUCGAAGAUACCAGCUGGCUGCAACUGUUUAUUAAAAACACAGCACUCUGCAAACACGAAAGUGGAGGUAUAGGGUGUGAUGCCUGCCCGGUGCUGGAAGGUUAAUUGAUGGUGUCAUCGAAAGAGAAGCACCUGAUCGAAGCCCCAGUAAACGGCGGCCGUAACUAUAACGGUCCUAAGGUAGCGAAAUUCCUUGUCGGGUAAGUUCCGACCUGCACGAAUGGCAUAAUGAUGGCCAGGCUGUCUCC
rnacentral:rRNA from 1 species